AUUGAACGCUGGCGGCAGGCCUAACACAUGCAAGUCGAGCGGAAACGAGUUAUCUGACCCUUCGGGUGACGAUAACGGCGUCGAGCGGCGGACGGGUGAGUAAUGCCUGGGAAAUUGCCCUGAUGUGGGGGAUAACCAUUGGAAACGAUGGCUAAUACCGCAUAAUAGCUUCGGCUCAAAGAGGGGGACCUUCGGGCCUCUCGCGUCAGGAUAUGCCCAGGUGGGAUUAGCUAGUUGGUGAGGUAAGGGCUCACCAAGGCGACGAUCCCUAGCUGGUCUGAGAGGAUGAUCAGCCACACUGGAACUGAGACACGGUCCAGACUCCUACGGGAGGCAGCAGUGGGGAAUAUUGCACAAUGGGCGCAAGCCUGAUGCAGCCAUGCCGCGUGUAUGAAGAAGGCCUUCGGGUUGUAAAGUACUUUCAGCAGUGAGGAAGGURGUAGUGUUAAUAGCACUAUUAUUUGACGUUAGCUGCAGAAGAAGCACCGGCUAACUCCGUGC
rnacentral:rRNA from 1 species